CACUUCUAAGGAAGGCAGCAGGCGCGCAAAUUACCCAAUCCUGACUCAGGGAGGUAGUGACAAGAAAUAACAAUAAACCGGCUUAUGCCGGUUUAAUUGGAAUGAGUACAAUUUAAACAUCUUAACGAGGAACAAUUGGAGGGCAAGUCUGGUGCCAGCAGCCGCGGUAAUUCCAGCUCCAAUAGCGUAUACUAAAGUUGUUGCAGUUAAAAAGCUCGUAGUUGGAUUUCUGUGGGGACGGAGCGGCCGGCCGCAACACGCGGUUCGAGCUAGCGCUUUCCCUACAUCCUGCCGCGAACCGUGCUACCAUUAAUUUGGUGGCGCCGGGGAUCGGCUCGAUUACUUUGAGAAAAAUAGAGUGUUCAAAGCACGCCACAUGCCUUGAAUAAGUUAGCAUGGAAUAAUAACUAAGGACUUCGGUUCUAUUUUGUUGGUGUUCGGGACUGAAGUAAUGAUUGAUAGGGACAGUCGGGGCGGUCUGUAUUCCAAAGCGAGAGGUGAAAUUCUUAGACCUUCGGAAGACAAACAGCUGCGAAAGCGUUCCGCAAGGAUGUUCCCUUUGAUCAAGAACGAAAGUUGGGGGAUCGAAGACGAUCAGAUACCGUCGUAGUCUCAACUAUAAACUAUACCAGCUAGGGAUCGGCCAACGUUAUUUCAUACCGACUUGGUCGGCACCUUAUGAGAAAUCAAAGCAUCUGGGUUCCGGGGGGAGUAUGGUCGCAAGGCUGAAACUUAAAGGAAUUGACGGAAGGGCACCACCAGCCGUGCAGCCUGUGGCUUAAUUUGACUCAACACGGGAAAACUUACCAGGUCCAGACAUAGUGAGGGUUGACGGAUGGGAUAGCUCUUUCUUGAUUCUGUGGGUGGUGGGGCGUGGCCGUUGUUAGGUGGGGGAGUGAUUUGUCUGGUUAAUUCCGUUAACGAACGAGACCCCAGCGUGGUAAAUAGCGCGUGUGAGCUUUGCUCGCAGCGAGCUUGUUAGAGGGACUAUGAUGCGCGAUAGCACAUGGAAGUUUGGGGCAAUAACAGGUCUGUGAUGCCCUUAGAUGUUCUGGGCCGCACACGGGCUACACUGGCGCCUGCAACGAGCAUAUCAGGUGGCCCGAGAGGGUCUUGGCUAAUCUUUUGAACCGGCGCCGUGCUUGGGAUUGACCUUUGCAAUUGUUGGUCAUGCAACGAGGAAUGCGUUGUAAACGCGAGUCAUCAGCUCGCAUUGAAUACGUCCCUGCCCUUUGUACACACCGCCCGUCGCUCCUACCGAUGAAUGUUCCGAUGAAAUUUUCGGAGAGUGCCUGUGAACUUGGCUCUGCCUUGCGAACGGGAAGCUCAAAGUCACUUAAAUCUGAACAUUUCGAGG
rnacentral:rRNA from 1 species